GGUUUUAACCCAGUAUCUCAAGGUACUUAGGGCGUACCACCUACCACCUGUGGUUGUGUCGAAAACCUCAAUUUUUGGACAGUCGUCCCGGGGUGUCCGGGAGGGCAAC
rnacentral:sRNA from 1 species